rnacentral:rRNA from 1 species
CUGGCUCAGAUUGAACGCUGGCGGCAUGCUUUACACAUGCAAGUCGAACGGCAGCAUGGGUGCUUGCACCUGAUGGCGAGUGGCGAACGGGUGAGUAAUACAUCGGAACGUACCAAGUAAUGGGGGAUAACUACUCGAAAGAGUGGCUAAUACCGCAUACGCCCUACGGGGGAAAGCAGGGGAUCUUCGGACCUUGCGUUAUUUGAGCGGCCGAUGUCUGAUUAGCUAGUUGGUGGGGUAAGAGCCCACCAAGGCGACGAUCAGUAGCGGGUCUGAGAGGAUGAUCCGCCACACUGGGACUGAGACACGGCCCAGACUCCUACGGGAGGCAGCAGUGGGGAAUUUUGGACAAUGGGCGAAAGCCUGAUCCAGCCAUGCCGCGUGUAUGAAGAAGGCCUUCGGGUUGUAAAGUACUUUUGUCAGGGAAGAAAAGCCUGAGGAUAACACCCUCAGGUCAUGACGGUACCUGAAGAAUAAGCACCGGCUAACUACGUGCCAGCAGCCGCGGUAAUACGUAGGGUGCAAGCGUUAAUCGGAAUUACUGGGCGUAAAGCGAGCGCAGGCGGUUAUUUAAGUCAGGUGUGAAAGCCCCGAGCUCAACUUGGGACGUGCAUUUGAAACUGGGUAACUAGAGUGUGUCAGAGGGGGGUAGAAUUCCACGUGUAGCAGUGAAAUGCGUAGAGAUGUGGAGGAAUACCGAUGGCGAAGGCAGCCCCCUGGGAUAACACUGACGCUCAUGCUCGAAAGCGUGGGUAGCAAACAGGAUUAGAUACCCUGGUAGUCCACGCCCUAAACGAUGUCAACUAGGUGUUGGGAGGGUAAAACCUUUUAGUACCGGAGCUAACGCGUGAAGUUGACCGCCUGGGGAGUACGGCCGCAAGGUUAAAACUCAAAGGAAUUGACGGGGACCCGCACAAGCGGUGGAUGAUGUGGAUUAAUUCGAUGCAACGCGAAAAACCUUACCUACCCUUGACAU